UACAGAGGUCUCAAGCGUUGUUCGGAUUCAUUGGGCGUAAAGGGUGCGUAGGCGGCGCGGUAAGUCGGGUGUGAAAUCUCGGAGCUUAACUCCGAAACUGCAUUCGAUACUGCCGUGCUUGAGGACUGGAGAGGAGACUGGAAUUUACGGUGUAGCGGUGAAAUGCGUAGAUAUCGUAAGGAAGACCAGUGGCGAAGGCGGGUCUCUGGACAGUUCCUGACGCUGAGGCACGAAGGCCCAGGGGAGCAAACGGG
rnacentral:rRNA from 1 species